rnacentral:rRNA from 1 species
AACGAACGCUGGCGGCGUGCCUAACACAUGCAAGUCGUGCGAGAAAGUUCCUUCGGGAGCGAGUAAAGCGGCGCACGGGUGAGUAACACGUAGGUAACCUGCCCCCCAGUCUGGAACAACUAGAGGAAACUCUAGCUAAUGCCGGAUGAGACCACGAUCCCUUCGGGGUUGCGGCCAAAGAUGGCCUCUACUUGUAAGCUAUCGCUGAGGGAUGGGCCUGCGGGCCAUUAGCUUGUUGGUGAGGUAACGGCUCACCAAGGCUGUGAUGGCUAGCUGGUCUGAGAGGAUGACCAGCCACACUGGGACUGAGACACGGCCCAGACUCCUACGGGAGGCAGCAGUGGGAAUAUUGCGCAAUGGGCGAAAGCCUGACGCAGCGACGCCGCGUGGGUGAUGAAGGCCUGGUCGUAAGCCUAGUCGCAGGGAAGAAGUAAGAC